rnacentral:rRNA from 1 species
AUGAACGCUGGCGGCGUGCCUAAUACAUGCAAGUCGCGCGAACGGACGAGAAGCUUGCUUCUCUGAUGUUAGCGGCGGACGGGUGAGUAACACGUGGAUAACCUACCUAUAAGACUGGGAUAACUUCGGGAAACCGGAGCUAAUACCGGAUAAUAUUUUGAACCGCAUGGUUAAAAAGUGAAAGACGGUCUUGCUGUCACUUAUAGAUGGAUCCGCGCUGCAUUAGCUAGUUGGUAAGGUAACGGCUUACCAAGGCAACGAUGCAUAGCCGACCUGAGAGGGUGAUCGGCCACACUGGAACUGAGACACGGUCCAGACUCCUACGGGAGGCAGCAGUAGGGAAUCUUCCGCAAUGGGCGAAAGCCUGACGGAGCAACGCCGCGUGAGUGAUGAAGGUCUUCGGAUCGUAAAACUCUGUUAUUAGGGAAGAACAUAUGUGUAAGUAACUGUGCACAUCUUGACGGUACCUAAUCAGAAAGCCACGGCUAACUACGUG